rnacentral:tRNA from 1 species
ACUUUUAAAGGAAAACAGCUAUUCCCCUGGUCUUAGGCUCCAGCCCUUCUUGGUGCAACUCCAAGUAAAAGUU